rfam:Ricinus communis cultivar Hale ctg_1100012353834, whole genome shotgun sequence.
CUGUUUGCUGAUGGAGCAUCAUCAAGAUUCACAAACUUUAUCUAGGGCUAGUGGGUUGUUGUGGUCCCUUUUCUUUUUCUUUUUUUCUUUUUCUCUUGCUUCAAUCCAAUAGUCCCUUUGAUAUGGGAAUCUUGAUGAUGCUGCAGCGGCAAUAAA